AACGAACGCUGGCGGCAUGCCUAACACAUGCAAGUCGAACGAGACCUUCGGGUCUAGUGGCGCACGGGUGCGUAACGCGUGGGAACCUGCCUUUAGGUUCGGAAUAACUCAGAGAAAUUUGAGCUAAUACCGGAUGAUGUCUUCGGACCAAAGAUUUAUCGCCUUUAGAUGGGCCCGCGUUGGAUUAGCUAGUUGGUGGGGUAAAGGCCUACCAAGGCGACGAUCCAUAGCUGGUCUGAGAGGAUGAUCAGCCACACUGGGACUGAGACACGGCCCAGACUCCUACGGGAAGCAGCAGUGGGGAAUAUUGGACAAUGGGCGAAAGCCUGAUCCAGCAAUGACGCGUGAGUGAUGAAGGCCUUAGGGUUGUAAAGCUCUUUUAACCGAGAUGAUAAUGACAGUAUCGGGAGAAUAAGCUCCGGCUAACUCCGUG
rnacentral:rRNA from 1 species